GAUCAUGGCUCAGGAUGAACGCUAGCUACAGGCUUAACACAUGCAAGUCGAGGGGAAACGACAUCGAAAGCUUGCUUUGAUGGGCGUCGACCGGCGCACGGGUGAGUAACGCGUAUCCAACCUGCCCACCACUUGGGGAUAACCUUGCGAAAGUAAGACUAAUACCCGAUGAUAUCCCUAGACGACAUCUGAAAGGGAUUAAAGAUUUAUCGGUGAUGGAUGGGGAUGCGUCUGAUUAGCUUGUUGGCGGGGUAACGGCCCACCAAGGCAACGAUCAGUAGGGGUUCUGAGAGGAAGGUCCCCCACAUUGGAACUGAGACACGGUCCAAACUCCUACGGGAGGCAGCAGUGAGGAAUAUUGGUCAAUGGGCGAGAGCCUGAACCAGCCAAGUAGCGUGCAGGACGACGGCCCUAUGGGUUGUAAACUGCUUUUAUAAGGGAAUAAAGUGAGUCUCGUGAGACUUUUUGCAUGUACCUUAUGAAUAAGGACCGGCUAAUUCCGUG
rnacentral:rRNA from 1 species